ACUGGGGAGGGAGCAUGACCUGUCAGUUACAGAGUUCCAGAACAUAUAAGUAGAACAUAUCCCAAAACCCUGCACUUGAAACCAAUCCAAGAGUGCUGUCUUCAAUUCUCAUAAAACACCAAGCAGGUUUGUGAUAGGACAGCCUAGACCUGACCUCACUCAGCCUGAGGAGCAAGAGAUACAAACAUGGCCGCCACUGAGCUCUUGGCCACCGUACUCUCUCUCCCCCAGUGGUCUGCUCUCGACCCUGUAGAGUAUACUUCUUUUCUUACUUAUUUGUCAGGAACAAAUGAGAGGAACUUCUCAAGGGGAUCAUACCCUUAGGCUCCUUUUUACCCACAAGUUGUCAUGUGUAAUCGGCGCUUAACUAGUUACAAACCAAGCUCCUUUCUUUCCUGCCACAUAGAUUUCACCACACCCAAAAAGAAAGGAUAGGCAUCAUUAUGUCCCUUUCAGGAAGAAGCAAGUUCAGGCACUAGAUAUUUAAGGGAGGAAUGCGAUUUUGGAAAAAGAAGCUGUAACUAGAUAAGGACUUUUAAGUGGUUCUGCAUUUAAUCCAAUAACUGGUAACCCAAUAAAAGGAGAAGGCACAAGAGACAGAUAAGGAAGUGAUGGAAGA